CCUGGCCAAUCAGCAUUUUAUUAAAGUAUGAUUGACAGAAUACAGACAAUUCUCCCGCAUCACACACCCAUGUCCUAUUUGUCUUCAGCGGAAGAGAUUUCAGUGUGUCACAGUGACUUGGGAAGUCCCCCGAGGAGACAUGCUGUCACUGGCACCUUUGUGGCCGUCCCGUUUCACAGCGGAGGGAACCGAGUCUCAGGCUAAGUGGUUUGUUCAAGCCCAUACAGUAGCAAGCUGGAGAGUCAGGAUUUCAUUCCAGGAUUCAGAGAUGCCAGAACCCCUGGCUUUUCAGUAACUGCGUAUUUUCCAAGCCGUGGCAAGUCAAGGUGACUGGAUGUUGCUUUCUCCUUGGUGCCAUUGCUACACACCUGCUGUCUCUAGGAGCCUGGCUUCCCUUCAAGUGAGGAGGACAUAACUCUUUCCUUGGAGAGUCCAUGGCUCCACGCCAGAGUCUGGAGUGUCUACAGGAAAUAAUAACACAUUGCCAGAUGCCCCAGGUGAGCUGUGACCAUCUCUUGGCUCGUUUGGAGAGCAUGCCUCCAGACCAUUCCUUCUAAAGAUAACUCCCCUGCAUGAAACCAGCUCAAAGCGCUCUUCUGGCAUCUUCAGGGGUUAAAUUGAACUGGGGCUUCUUUAGGCUUCUGACCCAUAAUAAAAUC